rnacentral:rRNA from 1 species
AGCGAACGCUGGCGGCAGGCCUAACACAUGCAAGUCGAACGGAUCCUUCGGGAUUAGUGGCGGACGGCUGAGUAACACGUGGGAACGUCCCCUUUGGUUCGGAACAACUCAGGGAAACUUGAGCUAAUACCAGAUGUGCCCUUCGGGGGAAAGAUUUAUCGCCAUUGGAGCGGCGCGCGUCUGAUUCGCUAGUUGGUGAGGUAACGGCCCACCAAGGCGACGAUCAGUAGCUGGUCUGAGAGGAUGAUCAGCCACACUGGGACUGAGACACGGCCCAGACUCCUACGCGAGGCAGGAGUGGGGAAUCUUGCGCAAUGGGCGAAAGCAUGACGCAGCCAUGCCGCGUGAAUGAUGAAGGUCUUAGGAUUGUAAAAUUAUUUCAGCGGGGACGAUAAUGACGGUAACCGCAGAAGAAGCACCGGCUAACUUCGUG